rnacentral:rRNA from 1 species
GACGAACGCUGGCGGCGUGCCUAACACAUGCAAGUCGAGCGGAGAUUAGUUUGCGGCGACUUCGGUCAAAGCGGACUAAAACUUAGCGGCAGACGGGUGAGUAACACGUAGGUAACCUGCCCAUCACACGGGGACAGCCCUGGGAAACCGGGGGUAAUACCGCAUAACAUACACAAACUGCAUGGUAAGUGUAUCAAAGGAGCAAUCCGCUUUAAGAUGGGCCCGCGGCUGAUUAGCUAGUUGGUAAGGUAACGGCUUACCAAGGCGACGAUCAGUAGCCGACCUGAGAGGGUGACCGGCCACACUGGAACUGAGACACGGUCCAGACUCCUACGGGAGGCAGCAGUGGGGAAUAUUGCGCAAUGGGGGGAACCCUGACGCAGCAACGCCGCGUGGAGGAAGAAGGUCUUCGGAUUGUAAACUCCUGUCUUCUGGGACGAAUAAUGACGGUACCAGAGGAGGAAGCCACGGCUAACUACGUG